AUUCAGUAAACGUGCUGCGCAUAGAUUGCGUGUUUUUCGUGUUUGCAGUCUCCGGAAUUUUUAUUAAUCGAAUUCAUUUCGCAUACAGCUGCAGCAAGAUGCCAAACACGACUGAAGUGGAAUAUCCGCUGGAUUUGUUUACAAGACGAAACAGUAAUUAGUACUAUACCAUUAGGUAAAGUGAUAAAGAGCACAAGUGAUAAUAUCGCUGUUAAAACCUCCUUCAGUGGCAUUUUUGGUAUGGACAACUUCAGCAGGAUUUCUGCAGCAAUCCCUAUUUGAUAGGGAGUCGCACUACAUCGAGAGCGGUCGCUUUUUGGCAAAUAUUGCACGAAAAGGCUAAAGAAAACCUCUCGAAGAAAACCACUGUUGAAAUUGUUUGAUACUAAAGCUGUGAAACAAACAUUUCCCUUCGUAAUAUCAUUUUGAUCAAAAAACACGCAAGAGAUACGGGUUGAUGGCAGCGACUGCCAUGGCUGCUUUGAUAAUCUUGAUCCUCCACUGCUUCCGUUUCACCUUGAACAAGUGAUGCUCAGAUGUAUCCCAACCAUGGUAAUCAGAAUAAUCAGCUUGUCGCCUUGGUUUUCUAAUAUUCUAAUGUGUACUUCCUGCGUGUCGAUAAUCACUCACUGCGGAAGGAAUUGAAGGAUUUGCUGGUUUCUCUGCCAACCCCGAAACGAAGUUUUGCUCACAGGAACUGCAAAACGCCCACUUAUCCAAUUUUGACGGCCGAUGAACGGCUUCAAGAUAUAAUCUUGAAAGAAAACAUAAAACAAGAGUUGGAAAUGGCAAAAAAACAAAGAGCAGAAAUAAGAAAAACAAAAAAGAUGUUGAAAGAAGAAGAAAAAAAAUAAGAGAAAAUAAUAUACUAAAUCGACGCAUAGAGAAAGGAGAUAUUCGACAGAAGAAAGAAGAAGCAAAACGAAUAAAACUAGAAGAGAAGAAAAAAAAACACUGAAAAUGAAGCCAGUCUCUAAGAAGAAAACGAAGAUGGUUGUUUGAACAUGAUUACCGUGUAAUAUUUUUUAUUCAUGUAGCUGUUCUUGUCGGCUCUGGUUAGCUGAAUUCAUAUUAUUCAUUACAAAAUAUCCAAAUAUUUUAAA